UAGAGCGCGCCUGUAAGCUCCAGCAGGCCUUCACCUAAUUCCAAGAGCUGCUCUCUCGGAAUCGCGCGUUGUUCUCGACUAAUUCACGGAACCAGUUUUCGUUCGCAUUCCGACAGGUUUCGUGGGGCUCGAAAAAGAAGUUUGAAAAAUAUACGAUGAUCUUUCGUUGCCAUCGCGUUCGGUAACGUUCGCCUGUCGGGGUGGGUACGCGUUGGAAAAAUGAUGCAAUUCGAUAGUGGAAUUUGGACAUUCGAAGAAUCCUUAAUCUGACCCGAAUGGGAACGAUCGUAGAAAAAAUUCGACGAACCGAGGCCUGAGAAAUGUCCGGGCGACGCCAGGAAUCACAUCACGUUACAGUUGCAUCCUAGAAGAAUAGCUGACAGAUGGCGUCCAAAUAUGCAAAAUGUUACGCGUACGUUUACCGUCUUCCGAACGAGAAUUCCGAAAGAUCGAAUGGCAGCGAAGAUUAGAUUUGAAUUUGACCCCGCCUCGAAAGGAACGCGUUUUUGCAACGAACGAGUAACUCCUCGUCCGAAAUCGUCCCAGCGAGAAGCAACGAUCGGCGAAUAACGCCGAACGCGUGUUCUUUCCAUCUUCUUUUUUCGUAUCCGGUUCCUCGUUGCAGCUUCAGGGCCUGAAUAAUUCAUCGAUUUCCGUCGAAGAAUCCGCGUAGGACGCUCGAGCGAGGAAAACGAGGAAAUAAAGGGGUUUACGCGAACACAGGUUCGCAUUUGAAAGGUGUCGGCGAAACUGCAUAUAAUGGCAAUGAUCCACAAGCGUUAUCUUGCAAACGAUAAACGAAGAUGUUAUCGACGAGCAGAGAGCUGAAUGAAAUGCAAUCUGAAUUUCCCCAUUCGCGUCGAGUGCGGAUUCGCAAUUGCUCUGUCUUUCGUUUCGGUGCACGGAAUUGAGCCGACACCGCGACAACAUUGAAAUACGCGGAAGGAAAGAAGAAAAUAUAAAGCUUUUAAUAUCAUCGAUCUACGUAAAUGGAAAUCGACGUGGAAAUCCUGUUACGAAGUUGUAUUUCCUGCUCCGUCUGAACCGUCUGAA